UACGUAGGGGGCAAGCGUUGUCCGGAUUUAUUGGGCGUAAAGAGCUCGUAGGCGGUUUGGUAAGUCAGGUGUGAAAUCUCCACGCUCAACGUGGAGGGGCCACCUGAUACUGCCAUGACUGGAGUCCGGUAGAGGAGUGUGGAAUUCCCGGUGUAGCGGUGAAAUGCGCAGAGAUCGGGAGGAACACCAGAGGCGAAAGCGGCGUCCUGGGCAAUGACUGACACUCAAGUGCGAAAGCGUGGGGAGCAAACAGG
rnacentral:rRNA from 1 species